GCCUCGGAUCAGGUGGGGAUACCCGCUGAACUUAAGCAUAUCAAUAAGCGGAGGAAUUUCCGGGGGUAAAUUCGGACACCAUUGACUUUUUAAACCCCGAAGAAAACCCAUUGUUGGUUUAAUCCCCGUUGGAUA
rnacentral:rRNA from 1 species